rnacentral:rRNA from 1 species
AACAUCGGGAAACUGGUGCUAAUACCGCAUGAUACCUGAGGGUCAAAGGCGCAAGUCGCCUGUGGAGGAGCCUGCGUUCGAUUAGCUUGUUGGUGGGGUAAAGGCCUACCAAGGCGAUGAUCGAUAGCUGGUCUGAGAGGAUGAUCAGCCACACUGGGACUGAGACACGGCCCAGACUCCUACGGGAGGCAGCAGUGGGGAAUAUUGGACAAUGGGCGAAAGCCUGAUCCAGCAAUGCCGCGUGUGUGAAGAAGGUCUUCGGAUUGUAAAGCACUUUCGACGGGGACGAUGAUGACGGUACCCGUAGAAGAAGCCCCGGCUAACUUCGUGCCAGCAGCCGCGGUAAUACGAAGGGGGCUAGCGUUGCUCGGAAUGACUGGGCGUAAAGGGCGCGUAGGCGGUUUACACAGUCAGAUGUGAAAUUCCAGGGCUUAACCUUGGGGCUGCAUUUGAUACGUGUAGACUAGAGUGUGAGAGAGGGUUGUGG